UACAGGGGGGGCAAGCGUUUGUUCGGAAUUACUGGGCGUAAAGGGCCAGUAGGCGGCCAACUAAGUCCGACGUGAAAUCCCCAAGCUUAACUUGGGAACUGCGUCGGAUACUGGAUGGCUUGAAUUCGGGAGAGGGAUGCAGAAUUCCAGGUGUAGCGGUGAAAUGCGUAGAUAUCUGGAGGAAUACCGGUGGCGAAGGCGGCAUCCUGGACCGACAUUGACGCUGAACGGCGAAAGCUAGGGGAGCGAAACGGG
rnacentral:rRNA from 1 species